UACGUAGGCAGCAAGCGUUGUUCGGAGUUACUGGGCGUAAAGGGUGUGUAGGCGGUUAUUUAAGUUUGGUGUGAAAUCUCCCGGCUCAACCGGGAGGGUGCGCCGAAUACUGAAUGACUUGGAGUGCGGGAGAGGAAAGUGGAAUUCCUGGUGUAGCGGUGAAAUGCGUAGAUAUCAGGAGGAACACCGGUGGUGUAGACGGCUUUCUGGACCGUAACUGACGCUGAGGCGCGAAAGCUAGGGGAGCAAACAGG
rnacentral:rRNA from 1 species